GGGAGUGGCAAGCGUUAUCCGGAAUUAUUGGGCGUAAAGCGUCCGCAGGCGGCUUUUCAAGUCUGCUGUUAAAACGUGGGGCUUAACUCCAUCAUGGCAGUGGAAACUGAAAGGCUUGAGUAUGGUAGGGGCAGAGGGAAUUCCCGGUGUAGCGGUGAAAUGCGUAGAUAUCGGGAAGAACACCAGUGGCGAAGGCGCUCUGCUGGGCCAUUACUGACGCUCAUGGACGAAAGCCAGGGGAGCGAAAGGGAUUAGAUACCCCUGUAGUCCUGGCCGUAAACGAUGAACACUAGGUGUCGGGGGAAUCGACCCCUUCGGUGUCGUAGCUAACGCGUUAAGUGUUCCGCCUGGGGAGUACGCACGCAAGUGUGAAACUCAAAGGAAUUGACGGGGGCCCGCACAAGCGGUGGAGUAUGUGGUUUAAUUCGAUGCAACGCGAAGAACCUUACCAGGGUUUGACAUCCUGCGAACCUCUUAGAAAUUUGAGGGUGCCUUCGGGAAUGCAGUGACAGGUGGUGCAUGGCUGUCGUCAGCUCGUGUCGUGAGAUGUUGGGUUAAGUCCCGCAACGAGCGCAACCCACGUUUUAAGUUGCCAGCAUUUAGUUGGGCACUUUAGAAAGACCGCCGGUGAUAAACCGGAGGAAGGUGUGGAUGACGUCAAGUCAUCAUGCCCCUUACACCCUGGGCUACACACGUGCUACAAUGCUUCGGACAAAGGGCAGCAAACUCGCGAGAGCUAGCAAAUCCCAUAAACCGUGGCUCAGUUCAGAUCGUAGGCUGCAACUCGCCUACGUGAAGUAGGAAUCGCUAGUAAUCGCAGGUCAGCAUACUGCGGUGAAUACGUUCCCGGGCCUU
rnacentral:rRNA from 1 species